rnacentral:SRP_RNA from 1 species
GCUGGGCGUGGUGGUGCAUGGCUGUAAUCCCAGCUACUCGGGAGGCUGAGGCAGGAGAAUUGCUUGCACCCAGGAGGCAGAGGUUGCAGUGAGCCAAGAUCACGCCACUGCACUCCAGCCUGGGUGAUACAGCAAGACUCUGUCUCAA